rnacentral:rRNA from 1 species
AUUGAACGCUGGCGGCAUGCCUAAUACAUGCAAGACGAACGGUAAGUUGAGUAGCAAUACUUAGCCAAGAGUGUCGUACGGGUGCGUAACACGUAUGCAACCUACCCUAUACAGGAGGAUAGCCUAGGGAAACCUGGAUUAACCCUUCAUAGUAUUAUUGGAUGGCAUCAUUUGAUAAUUAAAACUGAGGUGGUAUAGGAUGGGCAUGCGUCUGAUUAGUUAGUUGGCGGGGUAAUGGCCCACCAAGACGAUGAUCAGUAGGGGUUCUGAGAGGAAGAUCCCCCACACUGGCACUGAGAUACGGGCCAGACUCCUACGGGAGGCAGCAGUAGGGAAUAUUGGUCAAUGGAUGCAAGUCUGAACCAGCCAUGCCGCGUGCAGGAAGAAGGCCUUCUGGGGUUGUAAACUGCUUUUGCCAGGGGAUAAAAUUUCCAUGCGUGGAAAACUGAAGGUACCUGGUGAAUAAGCCACGGCUAACUACGUGCCAGCAGCCG